AGAUUGAACGCUGGCGGCAUGCCUUACACAUGCAAGUCGAACGGCAGCACGGGGGCAACCCUGGUGGCGAGUGGCGAACGGGUGAGUAAUGCAUCGGAACGUGCCCAGUAGUGGGGGAUAACUAGUCGAAAGAUUAGCUAAUACCGCAUACGACCUAUGGGUGAAAGCGGGGGGAUUCGCAAGAACCUCGCGCUAUCGGAGCGGCCGAUGUCUGAUUAGCUAGUUGGCGGGGUAAAAGCCCACCAAGGCUUCGAUCAGUAGCUGGUCUGAGAGGACGACCAGCCACACUGGGACUGAGACCACGGCCCAGACUCCUACGGGAGACCAGCAGUGGGGAAUUUUGGACAAUGGGACGCAAAGCCUGAUCCAGCCAUGCCGCGUGCGGGAAGAGGCUUCGGUUGAAACCGUCGUUUGGACGGUAACGAAACGGCGCGAGCGAAGUACUCUCGCGUUAAUGACGUACCUGCCAGAAUAAGCACCGGUACUAACUACGUGCCAGCACGA
rnacentral:rRNA from 1 species